rnacentral:rRNA from 1 species
AUACGGAGGGUGCAAGCGUUACUCGGAAUCACUGGGCGUAAAGCGCGCGCAGGCGGUCUUUUAAGUUGGAUGUGAAAGCCUACAGCUCAACUGUAGAACUGCAUCCAAAACUAUUAGACUAGAGUCUGGGAGGGGAAGAUGGAAUUAGUUGUGUAGGGGUAAAAUCCGUAGAGAUAACUAGGAAUACCAAAAGCGAAGGCGAUCUUCUGGAACAGUACUGACGCUCAGGCACGAAAGCGUGGGGAGCAAACAGGAUUAGAAACCCCAGUAGUCC